UACGUAGGUGGCGAGCGUUGUCCGGAUUUACUGGGCGUAAAGGGCGUGUAGGCGGUUCGUUAAGUCUGGUGUGAAAUCUCCCGGCCUAACCGGGAGGGGUCAUCGGAUACUGGCGAGCUAGAGGGGAGCAGAGGAAGGCAGAAUUCCCGGUGUAGCGGUGAAAUGCGUAGAUAUCGGGAGGAAUACCAGUGGCGAAGGCGGCCUUCUAGGCUUUUCCUGACGCUGAGGCGCGAAAGCGUGGGGAGCAAACCGG
rnacentral:rRNA from 1 species